rnacentral:rRNA from 1 species
UCAAAUUUAAAAUCUGGCUGGUUUACUAGUCCGAAUUGUAGUUUAAAGAAGCGUUUUCGGUGGCAGCCUGGGUAUAAAUCCUUUGGAAUAGGGUAUCAUAGAGGGUGAGAAUCCCGUCUUUGACUCAGUGCAUGCUACUAUGUGAUACGUUUUCAAAGAGUCGAGUUGUUUGGGAAUGCAGCUCAAAAUGGGUGGUAAAUUUCAUCUAAAGCUAAAUAUUGGCGAGAGACCGAUAGCGAACAAGUACCGUGAGGGAAAGAUGAAAAGAACUUUGAAAAGAGAGUUAAACAGUGCGUGAAAUUGUUGAAAGGGAAACGCUUGACACCAGUCAUGCGAGCGGAAAAUCAGUCUUUUGCAAUGGGGAGUGUGGGGGGGUUCGAACCGCAGGGUCGGCUUGC